AUUGAACGCUGGCGGCAGGCCUAACACAUGCCAGUCGAGCGGAUGAAGGGAGCUUGCUCCUGGAUUCAGCGGCGGACGGGUGAGUAAUGCCUAGGAAUCUGCCUGGUAGUGGGGGAUAACGUCCGGAAACGGGCGCUAAUACCGCAUACGUCCUGAGGGAGAAAGUGGGGGAUCUUCGGACCUCACGCUAUCAGAUGAGCCUAGGUCGGAUUAGCUAGCUGGUGGGGUAAAGGCCUACCAAGGCGACGAUCCGUAACUGGUCUGAGAGGAUGAUCAGUCACACUGGAACUGAGACACGGUCCAGACUCCUACGGGAGGCAGCAGUGGGGAAUAUUGGACAAUGGGCGAAAGCCUGAUCCAGCCAUGCCGCGUGUGUGAAGAAGGUCUUCGGAUUGUAAAGCACUUUAAGUUGGGAGGAAGGGCAGUAAGUUAAUACCUUGCUGUUUUGACGUUACCAACAGAAUAAGCACCGGCUAACUUCGUG
rnacentral:rRNA from 1 species